GAUUGAGGAAGCUCAGAUGUAUCUCAAUGUCUUUGCUGCUUCAUCUGUGUCUGCCAAUAUAAGGAAACACUGCAAAGAGGCAGAUUUUCUUGUUAGCUUACUAGCUGCAAAUGCUAGAUCUUUUUUUACCUUUUAGUGCUGACGUGCUUUUUUUUUCCCCAGCUAUGACAGAAGAGGUAACAUAUGCCAAUCUGAAAUUUGAAAACCAUGAGCUGGAUAUUAUCACAAAGCCUGCAGAUACUAAGGAAAAAGGGCCUCCCACUUCAUCCCGCUUUUGCUGGCCAGUAGUCCUGAUUUUGUUCACACUGUGCCUGACAUUGCUGAUGGCGAUGGUGACCCUGACAGUUUUAUUUUUCCAGAUUCCCAAGGACUACAGGACACAACUUAGAGACCUCAACAUGACAAAGAAUGAGCUGCAUGCAAAUUUCUCGAAUAUGCUGCAAGCAAUAGGAAAUCAGCUGUGCUUGGAAGGGGAAAAAACCCUUAGAAAUAAUGGCCAGAACUGUGUUCUCUGCCCUGCAAACUGGAAGUGGGAAGGUGGCGAUACAUGUUACUACCACUCUGAGGAAGAGGUGUCAUGGGAACAGAGUCACUCGUUUUGUUCCUCACAAAACUCUUCUCUUCUUCUGGUAAAAGAUGCAUCAAAGCUGGAACUGGUGAAAAAAUUUCCUGGAAAAAAAUACUGGCUUGGAUUAACAUUUAGAAUUAAACAGAGAGACUGGUAUUGGGCAGACAACACAGCUUUUACAGAAGAACAAAAGUCUUGGGCAACGCUUACCAAUGUCUUCCAAACCUGUGGAUAUUUUUAUUAUACUGCCAUAUAUAACACACUAUGUAAGAACAAGCUUCGCUAUAUCUGUGAAAAGCCUGCGAUUGAGUUACAGAGAGGUAACAACCACUGGCAGGACUGGUUUGUCAGACCAAAAUGAUUAUGAGAAGCUAGAAGACAUUC